UGCGGGGUGGAGCAGGCUGGCAGCUCGUCGGGCUCAUAACCCGAAGGUCGGAGGUUCAAAUCCUCCCCCCGCUACCA
rnacentral:tRNA from 1 species